AAGAAUAAACAGGUUCCAUGUUCCGCCCGAAGGUGGGCGGCUAAGAGGGAAGACGGGUGAGAUCCCCGCACGGACGCGCCGCUGUAAAGGACGAGUCGGCCGCAAAAUGCCACUGAAGCGAUUUGGGAAGGCGCGGCAGACAUAUACGGCCUGAGUCAGAAGACCUGCACGGAAUGGGCUUCGCCAC
rnacentral:ncRNA from 18 species